GCUCGUGGAUCGAUGAAGACCGCAGCUAAAUGCGCGUCAGAAUGUGAACUGCAGGACACAUGAACACCGACAAGUUGAACGCAUAUUGCACAUCGUACAACAGUACGAUGUACACAUUUUUGAGUGCCUAUACUUAUCGAUUUAACUAUGCGCGGUGUUGUGCGCGCGUUCGAGUCGCCGGCGCGCGAUGUUUGGACAUGCGGGUACACGGCCACACCGUACGCGCCCUUCACACGCCCUGUGCGCAUGCGCAGUGAUGUUUUCCCACCGCCGCGCGCCGGUGGUGGUAAAACAUUGAAGAUAGUCAGACGCGCGCGCGACGCGCGGUUGAUGAGAGUACAAUCCCAUACUCCAGCUUGGCUUGGAUACGUUGUACUUACUCGUUGACAGACGACAGACAGGAGGGUAUAUAGUAGGCCUCAAAUAAUGUGUGACUACCCCCUAAAUUUAAGCA
rnacentral:rRNA from 1 species